rnacentral:lncRNA from 1 species
CAAAAAAAAAUAUUAGUUAUUCGGGGAUCAGGGACCAUCGGGGAUCCCCUGUUAUUAUUCGGGAAGAAAAUGGAGAUUCUCUCAAGUAAUUAUGACGGGGACGGGGAGGGGACGGAGACAUACGUAAAAUAUCAGAGAUGGGUACAGAGAGAUUGGUCCCCUCUCCUCCUCUCCCCAUUGCCAUCCCUAGGCACGGAUUGGGAAAUUGUGUGGAGAGCGUAAGAAAAUAUGGAAGAUUUGGUGGUCACCGGCUUUGUCAUUCAUGAAGCGUAAGGAAAGCCACCGAGAGGGGUCAAGAAAAAUAAAAGCAAUUAAUGGUUAAAUUACGUUAUUUUGAUGGAAAUGUACGCAAGUGAAUUAGAAUUUAAUAAAGAUUUGUGGCUUAACACGCAUGGCGGCUGACUUCUAACAUAUAUAAAAAAUAAAUAAAAAGCCAUUGGCUUUUGAAAGGGGAAGCGGACCAAAGUUGGGGAACCACCUUUAGCAGAGCAGAAGCCACGGCUUGGAGAAGAGCCAGCCGCUUCGAUUAAUUCUCAUGAUUGGUUUUAUCUUUUGUUUUUUAUUCUUAGUAACUAAACUUCUGUCCUAGAGUCAAGGAUCGUACCUUAUUGAAUGAGAUAAAUUACUUUCUAUUCAAUUAAUUCCUUAUAUGUGUGUUUUUAAUGUUUAUGAUUCUUAUUUCACAUGUUUGGUUGAAUAUUAUUAAAUA